rnacentral:rRNA from 1 species
UACGGAGGGGGCUAGCGUUGUUCGGAAUUACUGGGCGUAAAGCGCACGUAGGCGGCUUUGUAAGUUAGAGGUGAAAGCCCAGGGCUUAACCCUGGAAUUGCCUUUAAGACUGCAUCGCUAGAAUCGUGGAGAGGUGAGUGGAAUUCCGAGUGUAGAGGUGAAAUUCGUAGAUAUUCGGAAGAACACCAGUGGCGAAGGCGACUCACUGGACACGUAUUGACGCUGAGGUGCGAGAGCGUGGGGAGCAAACAGG